CGAGGACGAGAUACAGUGCAG
rnacentral:miRNA from 1 species